GGGUGUUAGCUCAGUUGGUUAGAGCGCCGGCCUGUCACGUCGGAGGUCGCGGGUUCGAGUCCCGUACAU
rnacentral:tRNA from 1 species